AUAAAACAUACCAUUUUUUUAUUUGUUAUUUUCAGUUGUUUGAUAUGAAUAUUUCGGUGCUUUUACGUCAUUUCAGCGUUUGGAUUAACGAAAUCGAGUAUGUUGGUUAUAAGAGUGAUGGAAUUCUGGUUAGUGAACAUGUUACUUACGAAAAACCGAUUUCUAUAAUUGCGGGAGAACUUGAAAUCGACGAAACAAGGAAAAAAAUAGACAAGAGUACUCUCAUUUCGGUUAUGGCGCGAUUUGCAAUUGAACAUUCUUUUAAUUACUAUGCUAAAAGAUCGGUCAAGAAAAGUUAUAUCUUAUGAUGUCGGAUUAUGUUUGGACAUUUAAAGUAUCAUCUCAGUAAGUUGUGUUACCACCUAAAUACAAACGUCAACAUGGAAGGCCAAAGAAAAACAUGCACAAGAAAUCAAGUGAAACAAUGACAUCGAGCAGUAAUUGUUGCGGGAGAUGUGGUUAUGAAGGUUACAACGGGCUCACUUGCAAAUUCUUUUCAAAGAAGGAGUGACAAAUGUAGUUUACUAAUGAAUAAUGUUGAAUAGUUCCUUGGAAUGUUGCUGGAUUUUUUAUCUAUUUUGUUCGACAUUUUAGUUGAUGAGAUUUUUAUUUUUUUUAUGAAAUUUAAAAAAAGACAUUUACCGAAAUAAAUAGCAUUCUUUGUUAAUUUGUUAUUUAGUUAUAUAUGUUUUGAUGGUG